AACACCUGUGCGGAAGAGACCGUCCUCGUGACGGCGCCGAAGGGGCAAACCCUCCCCGGAAAACUCUCAGGCAGAAGGACCGCGUGGGCAGG
rnacentral:ncRNA from 2 species